rnacentral:rRNA from 1 species
CUGUGCUAACCUUCGGGAGGCAGGCGCCUAGGGCGAACUUCGUGAUUGGGACUAAGUCGUAACAAGGUAGCCGUAGGGGAACCUGCGGCUGGAUCACCUCCUUUCUAAGGA